rnacentral:snoRNA from 1 species
ACAUAGAAAAGGUCAUAAACUGUGCUCUUUUCCCCAUGGGGCCCAGUGUGCGAUGGCUGCACAUGGCAGCCUCCUCAGUAGGGUAUACUGCCUGAAUGCCUGCUCCAGUUGCCCCAAGGGGCCUUGGAGACAGUC